rnacentral:rRNA from 1 species
AAUGAACGCUGGCGGCGCGCCUAAUACAUGCAAGUCGAGCGAGAAGACGUAGCAAUACGUUUGUAAAGCGGCGAACGGGUGAGGAAUACAUGGGUAACCUACCCUAGAGUGGGGAAUAACUAGCCGAAAGGUUAGCUAAUACCGCGUACGCUCCUUGGACUUCGGUUCAGGGAGGAAAGCGAUGCCGAGGGUAUCGCGCUCUUGGAUGGGCUCAUGUCCUAUCAGCNGUUGGUGAGGUAACGGCUCACCAAGGCUUCGACGGGUAGCUGGUCUGAGAGGACGAUCAGCCACACUGGCACUGCGACACGGGGCCAGACUCCUACGGGAGGCAGCAGUAAGGAAUAUUGCGCAAUGGGCGAAAGCCUGACGCAGCGACGCCGCGGUGGGGGA